GUGCAGUGCAAGCUAGCUGUGCAUGUCUAUGAAUAAAUUUACUUUAUUAAUUAAAAUUAAUUAAUUUUUAUUAGAAAGGCGGGAAAUAGUAGCUGCCCACAAAAUGGCGGCUUUUUAUUGUGACCAUCUGGACUAUUUUAGACACAAAAUUAACGACACAAAGUACCAAAACAAGCUAUGGAUACCCCUGGAGUAGCAACCCGUCGAUCAAGUCUCCGUUCUAUGUCAGAGCAGAGGUCCCUGGAGCCUCGGGUUACUGAGA